rnacentral:rRNA from 1 species
GACGUAGGGCGCGAGCGUUGUCCGGAUUUAUUGGGCGUAAAGAGCUCGUAGGCGGUUCGGUUAGUCGGGUGUGAAAACUAUGGGCUCAACCCAAAGCGUGCACUCGAUACUGCCGUGACUAGAGUUCGGUAGGGGAGUGGGGAAUUCCUAGUGUAGCGGUGAAAUGCGCAGAUAUUAGGAGGAACACCGGUGGCGAAGGCGCCACUCUGGGCCGAAACUGACGCUGAGGAGCGAAAGCAUGGGGAGCGAACAGG